AUAGCGUAUAUUAAAGUUGUUGCAGUUAAAAAGCUCGUAGUUGAACCUUGGGCCUGGCUGGCCGGUCCGCCUCACCGCGUGCACUGGUCCGGCCGGGCCUUUCCCUCUGGGGAACCGCAUGCCCUUCACUGGGUGUGUCGGGGAACCAGGACUUUUACUUUGAACAAAUUAGAUCGCUUAAAGAAGGCCUAUGCUCGAAUACAUUAGCAUGGAAUAAUAGAAUAGGACGUGUGGUUCUAUUUUGUUGGUUUCUAGGACCAAAGUAAUGAUUAAUAGGGAUAGUUGGGGGCAUUAGUAUUUAAUUGUCAGAGGUGAAAUUCUUGGAUUUAUGAAAGACUAACUUCUG
rnacentral:rRNA from 1 species